GUUGUAUAGCUUAAGGGUAUUGUUUGUUUGUCGAACAAAUAAAAUAGAAACGACCUGGAAAGAGACCAUAUUGAUAGUGGGAACUCACCUCACCAGAACUCAAAUGGAAACAGCCUACUCUCUGAAUUUGUCAAGCAAACCAACCCCACCGCAAGGCAAACCACUUUCCUUCAUCUUCCAAAAUUUUAACACCACAACCAAUUCUGUUUCCAUCUUUUUGACUCAUCAAAAAAAUCCUUCGUUUUCCCUGUGGGUAUGGCUCUUCUCUUGAACAUGAGCUGCCCAUGCUUCUUUUCCCACCUUCUCUUCGUCUUCUUCGUUUAUGCUCUUGUUCCUUUCUCUUCUUGCCAAUCCAAUUCUCAGAAUAUUGAAACUUUCUAUCCUUUUCCAGUUCCGUCUCCGUCUCCUGCACCUUCACCUGCCAAUUCUAAUAAACCCAACUCUUCUUUUUUGCCUCCUGGAAAAUCACCUUCUCCACAACCGUCAGCACUGCCUCUUCCGGAACCCAGGUCCUCCUCGAGUACAACAGUUGCCAAGGCAGUAGCUGCUACUGCGGUGAGCACUUUUGUCGUCGCCACCUUGCUCUUCUUUUUCAUCCAGAGGUAUGUAGUUGCACGCCGCAGGACAAAGAGAGUAGAUGCUAUUUCUGGUGGAGGGAAGCCUCCGCCUCCGGUGCUUGAUUACGAUAAGUUUUCGCAAGUUGAUGGUAGUCUUAAGGGUGUGAUUGUUGAUGAGAAUGGGUUGGAUAUGCUUUAUUGGAGAAAACUUGAAGAGGAAAACAAGAAUGAAAGUUUUCAGAAAGAAGACACAGAAGAAGACGAUGAUGAUGGUGAGACGGCUCAAGCAAGAAAUGGGCGGCGCAAGAACUCUCAGCCCAUACAAGAAAUUCCUUUACUUCGAGGGAAGUCAUCCGUUUCCCAGGAUAAUAAAGUUGGGCCAGAAAUUGGUAGUCCUGACAGAUUUAUGGCCCCCAGCAUUAAUCCUCAAUCUGAGAUGGUCGUUAAGGCCAUUGAAAAAUCAAAUUUAACAAGUCAAACAUCAAAUCUUUCUCAUCUCCUUCCACCACCAUCAGCAGCGCCACCUCUGCCGCCGCUGCCGCCACCACCUGCAAUGGCAAUUCCAGCCAAACAAGCACCUGCAACACCUCCGCCUCCUCCAAUCCCAGCAAAGCAAAAUGCACCACCACCACCACCUCCAACACCUCCAAUUCCAGCAAAGAAAAAUAAUGCAACACCUCCACCACCUCCAAUCCCAGCAAAGAAAAAUAAUUCAACACCACCUCCACCUCCAAUCCCAGCAAAGAAAAAUAAUUCAACACCACCU
rnacentral:misc_RNA from 1 species